rnacentral:lncRNA from 1 species
AUGAUGGGGGAGGGGGAUGCACCUCCCUUCUGGUCCCUUCUGGAACCUUCUGGAACCCUCUGGAACUUCCAACCACUCAGCACAGUCCUGGUGGACAGGGUGGCUUGGUUCCGCUCCCUCCAGCGCCUUCUCCGGGCCAGCACAGGAUGCAGCAGGCAGCCUCUCGGGCACACUGGGAGAGUCAUGAAGUUCCCUCCUGACAGCCAAGAUGUCGGUGCCACCAGCCACUGCGCCACCUGCUCAGAGGGCUUUGUCCAUGUUUGUGUGCGCAGUGGUGGCCUCUGUCCCCAGUGCCACAUCCGGGGAACCACUCAGCAGCUUCUCCGAGCCCACUGCUGAGCCUCAUGUGGCUGUCCUCUGGCCCAUCCCUCUGAGCACAGCCAUGCCCCUCCUCCUGAUAGGGACAGAUGGAUUGGUGUCCCCACAUUUUGCCUCCACUGCCCAACCCCUGGGCUCCCCAGUGUCCUGCGCUUCUUGUUGAGGGUCCCCAGUCAGCUCCCCAAGCAGAACAGAUCCAAACUCGGCUCCUUUGUGUCACCCCAGCCUCUGUGGUGUCAGCGGAUGGCGCCCCCACUUCCAAGGUGCUCAGCCCUAAAGCCUGGGGCUUGUUGCCUGGCCAGCUCUGCUGCCUACGGUCCUCCACCAGGAAAUCCUGUCAGCCUUGCCUUCAAGGGAUAACAGACCUCCACAACUUUUUACCAGGUGGCUGUUUCUAGCCUGGGCAGAGCCACCUCUCACUCUCUUCAGCCUCCCUGGCGUCUCAGCUAUUCCUUAAAUCCCACAAACACGUCCUGCCUCGGGGCCUUCAUCCUGCUGCACCCUCUGCCCUAAUGCUCUUCCUUCAGGUAGCUACAUGGCUCACUCCUUCCUUCUCUGUUCAGUUUCCCAGCACCCAUGUCAACCCUCUGCAUCUGCUAUGGUUAGGGUGUGUUUGUCCCCAAAGGAGCAGGUGCCAGACUGUUUGUCCCAGUGUCUCAGUGUCCAGGUGCUGAACUUUAAGGGGUGGGUUCUGGUGGAGGGGCUGUAACAAUGGGAACAUCGUCCUUGGACGAGAUCAGCGCUGGUCUUGUGGAGUCCUCCAGGGUGCAGGUGGUGAGGAAGCAAGGCCACCUCGCGUGCUCGACCCCUCCGUUCCUCCUCUGCUUCUCGCCGCGUUGCAUCCCAGCUGGGGUCCUCACCAGGAUGCUGUCACCGAGCUGUUUGGACCUUCCUUGUCACCAGAAUUGUGAGCCAAUAAACCUCUUUAUCUAGCUGGCUUCCUCAGGCAAUUUGUUACAGCAACGCCUGUGAAGGAAUCCACCAUCCGCUCUGCUCUCUCCCUGGCCGUCUCCUCGCAGCUCUACCCAGUGUUUAUUUCUAAAUCCUCACUGGCCGCUUCAUUUCCAC